rnacentral:rRNA from 1 species
CCAGACUCCUACGGGAGGCAGCAGUGGGGGAUAUUGCACAAUGGGGGAAACCCUGAUGCAGCGACGCCGCGUGGGCGAAGAAGUAUUUCGGUAUGUAAAGCCCUAUCAGCAGGGAAGAAGAAAUGACGGUACCUGAGUAAGAAGCACCGGCUAAAUACGUGCCAGCAGCCGCGGUAAUACGUAUGGUGCAAGCGUUAUCCGGAUUCACUGGGUGUAAAGGGAGCGUAGACGGCCAUGCAAGCCAGGGGUGAAAGCCCGGGGCCCAACCCCGGGACUGCCCUUGGAACUGCAUGGCUGGAGUGCGGGAGGGGCAGGCGGAAUUCCUGGUGUAGCGGUGAAAUGCGUAGAUAUCAGGAGGAACACCGGCGGCGAAGGCGGCCUGCUGGACCGUGACUGACGUUGAGGCUCGAGAGCGUGGGGAGCAAACAGGAUUAGAUACCCUCGUA